UACACUUGGUGUUGAUGAUCUGUCAUAUCUGGCUGUGUGUCAGUAGGUGAGUUGCUUAGCUUCUCUGAGCCUUUGUUUUCCUGAGCGCUAAAGUGUGGAUAGAAACACCUACCUCAGACCAUCCCUAGUGUUGGAAUAUUAGUCUGAAAAGCCCCAGUGAGAUGAUCAGAAGACGAAGGAUACACUACAGCGUUUGGAGAGCAGCCCCUGCUCCCCUGUGGUGGAGGGCUCCAAACAGUCCAGUUCACCAACGACCUCACGGGUCUAGAGCAUUUCCGGUAAGGUCAGAGGGAGGAGGGGGGUCACGGUGUGUGACUAUAAAAGCCCUGCCUGUCCAGGCCACCACGGGCAGCCCUUCCUCCUGGGCUCCAGAGGCCGUCGCCAAGGGAGCGCAGAAGCCCCUUUCCUGGGCCUGCGGCACCCACAGGGACAUGUCCCCACCCGUAGCAGACGGCCCUCCAGCUCCUCCCCAAGGCCUCUGUGGCUGUCUGGGCCCCGCCUCCACCGGGGUUAUGGGGUUGUAAGAGUCAGUGCCUUGGAGUCACGACACAGGCCCAGAACUGCUCACGGAGCUCUGGAACCAAAGUCAAGGUGCAAGCCCAGCUUUGUGGGUUAAAGCCAUGAUCCUGCAAAUGCCUGCCAGCCAGCACCCCAGCCCCGCCCAGCCUGUCUGUCUGUUGCCCCCUGGGCCCUCUGCCCACCCCUGACCUCAUGGACAUCCUACAUACAGUUUCUCUCUCCGCUUUACACUCCCACCCCUCUCUCUAUCGGGAUAGAAUCGAAGGUGCUGGAAAAUUCAUCCACGAUCCGCCUCCCUCACUCCCUCUGCCCCCCCUCUGCCUCCAAGCCCUGCCUGGGGCCUCCCACCCCUGCCCCUGGCCUGACCUUCCAUGCUGCUCUCCUGGUCCUCCCUGUGCCACCUUCUUUUGUGUCUAGUGGCCCCAUGACUAUUGUCUGGCACCUGAGUGGGCUCCGUAGCACGACCAUGAGCCAGGGUCCAGUUCGCAAUGACUGUCUCCCUCUUGUCUCUCCUUCCGCUGUCAACGCUACUGCUGGGUGGGCAGGAGGCGCAGGGAUGGUGAUGCUGGCGGGUGGGGAAAUGAAGGAACAGAUGGGUGGAUGGGUGGAUGGGUGGAUGGAUGGACGGGAGCACUCGAGUCCUGGAAAGGAAGACACGACGGCAGUGUGAGUUAGAUCUCUUCCCGGAAGCCUUUUAGAGUUAUUUUUUAAACACGUUGCUUAUGGUGUAGGAAGCUGCCAUGGGACUCGGGGAGGCACCUCGCUCCGGUACCUGAACAGCCAUUCUCAGACUGGAGCCCCCUCUUCUGGUUUUAGUGAAACAGUCUGGAGGCCACAGCGUUUCCGUCAUGGACUCUGUUUGCGGGCAGAUUCUUUAUGUUUUAUUUGCAGGGAAAGGAAGCUCGGAGAGGGGCCGUCCUGGGGACCAGUUGUGUGGACCCGGCCUUCUGGAUGGGUCACUCUCAGGAACUGGCAAGGGAGAGAGGAGAAGAGGCCACACUGGGCCCAGAGCUGGGGCCUAGAUGAAGCCACGAGCAGGAACAGAGUGGCACUGACCACAGCCUGCAUCCGGGAGAGGGUGGAGAACUGAGAAACAGGUUUCUUCUGAAAGAGUUUAAGACAUCGUAAUACAGUGACACAUGCACACCCCUGUUUACAGCAGCACAGCUCAUAAGAGCUAAAUCUUGGAAGCGGCCUGAAUGUCCAUCAACAUACGAGUGGAUACAGAAAAUGUGGUAGUCACACGCCAUGGAGUACU